rnacentral:rRNA from 1 species
GACGAACGCUGGCGGCGUGCUUAACACAUGCAAGUCGAACGAAGAGCGAUGGAAGCUUGCUUCUAUCAAUUUUAGUGGCGAACGGGUGAGUAACGCGUAAUCAACCUGCCCUUCAGAGGGGGACAACAGUUGGAAACGACUGCUAAUACCGCAUACGAUCCAAUCUCGGCAUCGGGACUGGAUGAAAGGUGGCCUCUAUUUAUAAGCUAUCACUGAAGGAGGGGAUUGCGUCUGAUUAGCUAGUUGGAGGGGUAACGGCCCACCAAGGCGAUGAUCAGUAGCCGGUCUGAGAGGAUGAACGGCCACAUUGGGACUGAGACACGGCCCAGACUCCUACGGGAGGCAGCAGUGGGGAAUCUUCCGCAAUGGACGAAAGUCUGACGGAGCAACGCCGCGUGAGUGAUGACGGCCUUCGGGUUGUAAAGCUCUGUUAAUCGGGACGAAUGGUUCUUGUGCGAAUAGUGCGAGGAUUUGACGGUACCGGAAUAGAAAGCCACGGCUAACUACGUG